CCUACGGGGAGCAGCAGUGAGGAAUAUUGGUCAAUGGGCGGGAGCCUGAACCAGCCAAGCCGCGUGAAGGAAGAAGGCGCCAGGCGUCGUAAACUUCUUUUGUCGGGGAACAAAGGGCGCCACGCGUGGCGUUGUGAGUGUACCCGAAGAAACAGCAUCGGCUAACUCCGUGCCAGCAGCCGCGGUAAUACGGGGGAUGCGAGCGUUAUCCGGUUUUAUUGGGUUUAAAGGGUGCGUAGGCGGCCCGGAAAGUCAGCGGUAAAAGCCCGGGGCUCAACCCCGGCGAGCCGUGGAAACUGGCGGGCGAGAGACGGCGAGAGGUACGCGGAAUGCGCGGUGUAGCGGUGAAAUGCAUAGAUAUGGCGAAGAACUCCGAUUGAGAAGGCAGCGUACCGGAGCCGGACUGACGCUGAGGCGCGAAAGCGUGGGUAUCGAACAGGAUUAGAUACCCGAGUAGUC
rnacentral:rRNA from 1 species